GCAGGAUCCUGCUGGUAAUAUUGGAGCUCGCUGGUCGUAACCAUCUAGACAAAAGAGAAACCAGUAAUAUGAAUUGUACAAAUUCCACCUUAAAUUACUUUAAGGACGCAAAUAACAAGAAAUUACUAUAAAGCUGGAUUUAAAACAAAGGUAUGAACUCAGAGCAUCUACGUCACAGGCUUCAACAACUGACGGAAGUAUUCAGCCUGGCAA
rnacentral:misc_RNA from 1 species